rnacentral:lncRNA from 1 species
GCCAAUGAGAAGACAGAGUUGAAGACUAGAGAGCAGGAGCAUCACUUAUUCCUUCCCUCUUCUCUUGCUCUUCGCAUCCUUCCACAUCUCUACCCAUAAGGCUUAGCAGUCCUGUUCUAUUGUUGUCAAGGAUACACAGCCUUCCCCUGAUGCAAUGUAGACAGAGACGAGGAAGGAGUCCGAGAGAGCUAAAGUAAGGGAUGCUGAGGUCUGAGUGUGGGUCGCCCGUAUGCCCCUGAAGCCAUCUGCUCCGGAUCUACUGCAGAAAAGCAGUGUUUGACGCCAGCCCAAGGGCCCUAAGGACGUGAGACGUGGAGGAACAGGAGGCACAGGGUGAGGGGAGGAGGAGGGAGACAGGUGCCAGUGGAGAUCAUAUAGCAGAGGAUGGGAGCAGUGGAGUCCGCUGAGAACGGACAGCCCCCCUGUCCCUCUCAGGAGCGUCCCGAGAGCAUGAGCUCAGACUCAGACGGAGCAUUCGAAACCCCUGAGUCCACCACCCCUGUGAAGUCUGCUUCCCCACCAGUGCCCUCAACAGAGCCCCCCUGCACCAAAUCAGAGGGAUUGUCCCCAGAACACACAGGUACGUUUAGAUCUUCAUUCCAUUGCAAUUCACACCACAGAUUGUCUUAUGUGGAG